UCUAUCUGUUCCCUGUUGCCUUCGGCGUGGCCACGGCCCCCCGGAGACUAACAUUUGAACGCUGUCUGAAGUUUGCAGUCUGAGUUUUUAGUUAAACAAUAGUUAAACUUUCAACAACGGAUCUCUUGGUUCCGGCAUCGAUGAAGAACGCAGCGAAAUGGGAUAAUUAAUGUGAAUUGCAGAAUUCAGUGAAUCAUCGAGUCUUUGAACGCACAUUGCGCCCCCUGGUAUUCCGGGGGGCAUGCCUGUCCGAGCGUCAUUGCUGCCCUCAAGCAGGGCUUGUCUGUUGGGCCUUCCGGUCCCUGGCAACGGGGACGGGCCCAAAAGGGCAGUGCCGGCACCAUGUCUGGUCCUCGAGCGUAGGCGUCUUUGUCACCCGCUCCGUUAGGUCCAGCUGGCAGUUAUCCUCGCCACCAAUCUUUUAUUCCAGGUGACCUCGGAUC
rnacentral:rRNA from 1 species